GCCUGCUUAGCUCAGUUGGUUAGAGCGCCCGUCUCAUAAGCGGGUUGUCACAAGUUCAAAUCUCGUAGCAGGCA
rnacentral:tRNA from 1 species